GGUCAUGCCGAGCACUCUGAAAGGACUGCCCAGGAUAACGGGGAGGAAGGUGGGGAUGACGUCAAGUCAGCAUGGCCUUUAUGCCUGGGGCCACACACGUGCUACAAUGGC
rnacentral:rRNA from 1 species